UCAGAGUUUUGGACCUGGCUCAGAUUGAACGCUGGCGGCAGGCUUAACACAUGCAAGUCGAGCGGAGAGAGGUAGCUUGCUACUGAUCUUAGCGGCGGACGGGUGAGUAAUGCUUAGGAAUCUGCCUAUUAGUGGGGGACAACAUUUCGAAAGGAAUGCUAAUACCGCAUACGUCCUACGGGAGAAAGCAGGGGAUCUUCGGACCUUGCGCUAAUAGAUGAGCCUAAGUCGGAUUAGCUAGUUGGUGGGGUAAAGGCCUACCAAGGCGACGAUCUGUAGCGGGUCUGAGAGGAUGAUCCGCCACACUGGGACUGAGACACGGCCCAGACUCCUACGGGAGGCAGCAGUGGGGAAUAUUGGACAAUGGGCGCAAGCCUGAUCCAGCCAUGCCGCGUGUGUGAAGAAGGCCUUAUGGUUGUAAAGCACUUUAAGCGAGGAGGAGGCUACUUUAGUUAAUACCUAGAGAUAGUGGACGUUACUCGCAGAAUAAGCACCGGCUAACUC
rnacentral:rRNA from 1 species